UGUUCAGUUAUACACCGUUUUGUGAUCACUGCUGUUGAUAUAUUUGUGUGGGCUGAGAUUUUACUUUCAAAGAAAACACAGUAAUGAUCAGACAGGCCCACAUCAGUACCAUUUUAUACCACAAGGUGGCGCAGUGCUGUAAUCUUUAUAUCAGUGUUAAUGAGGAAGUUGUUCUUUACAGCUCUGUGGGACAUGUGGGCUUAUAUAAAAGUGAAAAAGCGAAACCUGCGGCACACGAAACAUGUCACCAUGCUGGUGAAACUCUGCCCCCUGCUGGUGAAAGUUUUAGUCGAGCACUGCAGAGGGAAACUACAAAAAGCUCUUUAAAUGUGAGAGCUCAGACUGUGUGUGUGUGUGUGUGUGUGUGUCUGUGUGUGUGUGUGUGUGUGUGUGUGUGUGUGUGUGUGUGUGUGUGUGUGUGUGUGUGUGUGGGUGUGUGUGUGUGUGUGUGUGUGUGUGUCAGAUCCAAUGAGAUCUCCUCCUGUCCUUAGCUGUUGGCUAAUGACCCUGAUGAUGUGGAACGCUCACUGUUUAUCUUCCACCUCAUUAGUUUGAGGCCAAUGCGCGCGCACACACACACGCACACACACACACGCACGUAUGAGGCGUGGAUGCACAGACCCUCACAGGUUCACACCUACGCACUUAUUUUUUUAAAUUUUUGAUUUCAUGUGUGCAAAAAAAGAUUUGCUGUGAUUUUCAGAACUGGACACAGAGCUGUGAUGCUGCUGUGAUGCUGCUGUGAUGCUGCUGUGAUGCUGCUGUGAUGCUGCUGUGAUGCUGCUGUGAUGCUGCUGUGAUGCUGCUGUGUGCUCAGGCCCACAGCAGCAUCACAGCAGCAUCACAGCAGCAUCACAGGAGCCGACCAGCUCAGUUAAAUCAUGCCAACAUUCUCAAUGAUGUCAUUCUUGGAGACAAAUUUAAUGCCUCAUUUACAGGCGACUUAUUGGACAUUUUUAUGCAGUUUAACUUGGAGGUUAAUUUGCUCGUACUUCACUGCAGCUGCUGGUGUUUUCUGGUGCCUUUGAAAUAAAAUGUGUACAUCCAGCACCUGUGGUGCAGAGGCAGCCUUCAUUUAAAUGAAGCAUAAGCCACAUAUAUGUGACUCCCCCCACACACGCAGACGUGUCCCCGCUGACCUCCCUUUGCAGACACUCUUUAGCUCAUGACUAAUGGCUUAGCUGACGUUUAAAUACACACCAUAGAUUUACAGCCAUCAGAGGAUGGCAUGUUCUCUACAGUCAGUUUCCUGAACUUUUACCCUAAUCUCAGCCUAAUCUUACUUUAUCCCAACCUAACAACACAUCUACGCGAAAAAGGAAGAAAUGAGGGUGGUUCAGGCCUUUUGCACAGCACUUGUAUCCAGAUGAAGGCAUGUCAGGGUUGUCUGCAUAACUGUAAGAAGCAGCAAUGACGUCACUGCAGACAGGAGGAACCUGGUUUAAAUGUUGGAGAGGAGCAGGUAUUUAAAGCUAAAUCAGAGGGAAACGUUACGGGUGGCGUUUCAUUUGUUACCUUAUUGUCAUUGUGAAAGCAAAAAAAAAGCCAGUGCUAACCUCACGUUGUGUGUAACUGCGACACAGAUACAGAGACUAUAAAGUGAUCCUACAAAUGAUAAAAUAUACAUCAAAUAAAUCAAAUUAAUGAAAAAAUAUAUUUGAAGACAUAAAAACACACUCUGUAGUUACCUGUAAACACGUGCCUGUCUUGAAUAAAUGAAACUUCAGUCUUACAUCACGAGCGAGCCGACUGAGAUUGCCUAAUAUGAUGAAUCUGAAUAUUUAUUAGCUGAAAUCUGGACAAAGCAACGAUGUGAAUGUUCAGGUUAACGCAGCCUCCGUCAACGAUGCCUAAAAAGGUAAAUUCAUAGGUUUAAAAACGGUUCAAUGCAAACAACCACAGGCAUCAACGGCGUUGGACGAAACCAUCGCUAUGACACAGAAGAAGUCGAACCACGCUGCACCAUUGUAAUCAGGCAAGGCAAGUUUAUUUGUAUAGCACAAUUCAACAACAAGGUGAUUCAAAGUGCUUUACAGAGACAUUAGAAACAAAAACAAG